GACGAACGCUGGCGGCGUGCCUAAUACAUGCAAGUCGAGCGCAGGAAGUCGACGGAACCCUUCGGGGGGAAGUCGACGGAAUGAGCGGCGGACGGGUGAGUAACACGUAAAGAACCUGCCCUCAGGUCUGGGAUAACCACGAGAAAUCGGGGCUAAUACCGGAUGGGUCAUCGGACCGCAUGGUCCGAGGAUGAAAGGCGCUCCGGCGUCGCCUGGGGAUGGCUUUGCGGUGCAUUAGCUAGUUGGUGGGGUAAUGGCCCACCAAGGCGACGGUGCAUAGCCGACCGGGGAGGGUGAUCGGCCACACUGGGACUGAGACACGGCCCAGACUCCUACGGGAGGCAGCAGUAGGGAAUCUUCCACAAUGGACGAAAGUCCGAUGGAGCAACGCCGCGUGAACGAUGAAGGCCUUCGGGUCGUAAAGUUCUGUUGUAAGGGAAGAACAAGUGCCGCAGGCGAUGGCGGCACCUUGACGGUACCUUGCGAGAAAGCCACGGCUAACUACGUGCCAGCCGCCGCCGUAAGAC
rnacentral:rRNA from 1 species